AGAGGGGAGAUUCAUGAUCUUUUGAGUAGCCUGUAAAAGAGAGAAAAAGGAAACGGGAAGAAAGAGGAAAAGAAAGAAAAAAGAAAAAAAGGGAAGAAAGAAUUUUUGAAAUUCUUUUCUUCCGGGGGUUUAUUUGCAAAAGGGUUUUUGCACUAUACAGACAUCAUCCUACCUUCCUGCAUUUCUUGGCGUGCGUGUGAAGUAGAGGGUCCGUACAUCCGGGCCUCGCAUAGCACCAGAUCCACCAGUACCAGAUCCGGCACCAGAUCCAGUUCCAGAUCCAGUUCCCGAUCCAGUACCAGAUCUAGCAUCCGAUCCAGU
rnacentral:lncRNA from 1 species